UUGACUGGUGAGACCCUUCUCAAAUUUAAUAUAUACAUACCUGGAAUUCCAGAACCAGAACGAGGUUUAAAUGGCACGAAUGUAAACACACUGACCACUCUUAUCUCACUAUAUAGCCACGAUGUCGGGUGUUAAUAAAGAAAAGUUCUUAUUAUCAUUUUUGUGUGCCAAUGUGCUAUUCUGAUGGUAAAUAUAAUUUACCAUAUUCCAAAGGAUAAAGAUUAAAAAAACACACAACAAAUUAUGGAUGACUUAACUUUCUAAGAUAAGAAGGGAUAAAAGGUCAUUGUUAAAGGUCACUGAAUCUACUGUGGUGUGUUCCAAACAUUUUAAACUGAGGAUUACAACUGGACUCCACUUAAAAAUGGUUCUAUUCCACCAGUGAUUAAUUUGGUUGAACAAACACCUCCAAUUAAGAAGGCCACUUAUAUGAAAAAUUCUUUCACCAAAGAAAAUGCUCAUUGAUAGCAUUGUCUAUAAUGAAGAUGAAGAAGAUAAUGCAACAAGUACCAAUUGCCAACCAUCUACAUCUUAUGGGUCUACAGAAACACAGGAAGAAAUAUAUAUUUAAAUGCUUCAUGAGGCUUGAACUGGAGGAGACCAAAAAGAUGUAAAGACCCUGCAACUCAUUUGUAUUGAAAUUACAAAGGAACAUGCACACGUUCGCAUUUGUGUCAUUGUUACAUGGAUGCAUGUCAGAUGUUGAGAUCUAAUUGAACUUUUUGAAACUGGUGAUGGUGUGAUGGUUUUUAUAUGUAUAUUUAAAUUGGUUUUCAAUAAAAAAAGGAUAAUAAAAACAAUAUAAUAUUAGGGAGUAUUAAAGUUUAAUCUUUAUUAAAAUUUUGAAAUAAAUAAGAAAAUUCAUUCUUUCUCUGUAAUCUAUGGCAUUUCCCUUAAUUAUAUUGCGCAAUGGUAGUAUUGGAAGUACAAAUUAAAAUUCAUGAAGUACAUGUAUACAUAGAAUUUGGCUAGGCAGAAACUAUAGUAAACGGUCUUUAUAACUGAGUCAAUAAAUGUUUGAUAUAAUCCACCCAAUACACAUCUGAUAAAGAUUUACCACAGGUCAUUAGGGGCUUAUCUGUAAGAUUCAAUUUGCAAUUACCUUUAUGUUGGCAUCAAGAAUCCAUAAAUAACAGAACAACAAAGAUUAUAUAAUACAAGACACCACAGAUUUAUAUCUAUAAACCUUAUAUUAUGUUAGGAAAUAUCUUUAUGACAGCAAAAUUGAAACCGAAAGUAAAAAAAAAUCUCUUCUCUUACUCACCUCUUAAACCAUAAAUGGAUACCUCAUAAAUAUAUUGAAUUCUUUAUAGAGAAAUUAACUUUGUCUUGAUUAAUAUAUAACUCUAUAAAUGAGAAAUUAAUUUUAGGAGCCAAAGAUAAGUCGAUUUCAUUGUAUACACAGCUUAUACUGGCUUAUCAGCUUGCCAGUUAUGCCUCGUUCUGGUUCAUGUUCUAAAAAUAGCUGUAUAAUAUUAAGAAUGGUCUAAUCAGAAGUUAGUCCUUAUAGAAAAUUUCUGGAUUUGAAUUUUUUGAUACAGAAGAUUUAUUAAUUUCAAAUGGCAUAUUAGAAUUGGAAUUGCAUGUAUUUAUUCAAAUGUUAUUUUUAUUAUUACAGUUCAAUUUUCUUUCUUUUUAACUGACACAUAUCUUAAAAUUAAUUCACCUUUAAUAAAAAAACAUUUUCUAACAUAACUGAUAAAUGACACCAAAAGUUAUUUUUUUAUUUUGGUAAACAUUGAAAGUAUGAUGCUACAAAUGUACAAAAAGCUCACUUUUCCUAAAGUUCCUUUUUAAUUCAAAAUAAAACAUCUAUAUUUUAGACACAUCUUAUGAUCAAAAUGAGAAUGCUCUGUGAUAUUUGUUAGAUCAAAAUUUAGCAUUAGGAGUAUCAUUUUGUAAGAGUUUAUAGUUGGCGACGCCAGUGAGCGGCGUCAUCUCUUAUGGAAUGCUUUUUAUUUUGGCCUAUGGAAGGAGCUGUUAUUAUUAGCAGUUAAUGUCAUGUUCUGUUAAUUAGUUUUAUUUUGAUUUGUAAAAAUCAAGUAAACAAAUAUGUUGUUAUAUUUGUAUUUAAUAACUUUAUGUAAAAAGCAUGUGCAUUGUGAUAUUAUUUUCAUGAAAUUGCAGGCUCAGUUUAACAGCUUGUCCCUGAGACAGCUUUAUGAGUGAGACUAGAAUAAAGUUUCCUUUUAACCCAUUACUUCAUAUACACGCCUUUUAACGCCUUUUUCACCCCCCCCCCCCUUUUUUGUUGUCUCAAAUGAUGAAAAAUGCCUUAUUUACCCCAAACACUUGUUUUUGUUUGAGAAAUGUUGUUAAAAAAGUGACCUCUUUUUCGGCGCGGCCCCCCAACCAAAAGAUACAUCAGGGGGUUGCCAGUUGCCUUCUGUUUGGGGGGGGGUUUGAAGGGGGGCGGAGUCCCCCUCAUCGCCAAGAAAAUUUUGGACUUGUGAGAGGCUGUAAAUGACCCCAGAUUGAUCACAAGGUAACAUGUAACCAACGUUGAAAAGCAUUUGACUCUAUCUCAAUCCAUUGAAAAGUUACAGCACUUUGAAAUCAAUUUUGAUGGAAAAAAUCAACGCAAAAUAGUGAUUUUUGGCAAUUUUGAGAUGUCCCCUCAUUGCCAUGGUAACAGAAAAUUUAAGCCUGAUCAUGUUGUUGCAAGGGCAAUGGUCCAGUCAACAUUUGUGCCAAGUUUGAUUAGUGUUGAAGCAGUUUUUAUAGUAUCAUAGCAAUUUGAACUUGUAACGGGAGACUUUUCAAUGAAAACAGCCAUUUUUCACAAAAUGCUCAUGAAGUAAUGGGUUAAAAGGAAAGGCUUGCCCAGUUGUGCCAUCAUCCCAUCCCUUUAAAAAUGAUUUUUUUUAUAAAAAACCUCCUAAAUCAACUCUUUAUGAUAAAGAAAUAAUUAUAAUGCAUAUAGGUGCUCAUGUCCAUAUAUUGAAACAGAGAAAGGAUAACAUACUGAAGUUAUCAAUUUUAAACACUUGAUAUAUAUGCAGUUAGUUAUAUAGUAAAGUCUAAUGGAAGGUUAAAAGAGGGACAGUAUUUGUUACUGUAAGAGAUAUGCAUUUAAUGUUUAGACACUCACACAGCUAAAUCUUUAUUAUACAUGUAUGAUAUAGAGUAUUUGAGAUUUUUUUAAAAACUUUUAUACUAUACAGUAUUAUAGUUUUCUUUCAACAAGAUUAUAAAUUCCAUCCAAGUACCAAUGUUAAUAGGAUGUUAUAUUUAUUUUCAAUGGAAACUGGGAAUUAUUAAUGUAAUGUGCAUAAAUGUAUAUCAUGGUAUAUGGAUAUAAUGUGACUUGAAAUAUUUCUGUAUUUAAAGAAAUACAGUUAUGAUGGAUGAGACUUGCAUUUAAAUUUAUAAAUGAUAAUACAUGUAUUGAUUAGUCUACAGGUUAUAGCUGUUUAUACCCAGUGUUUGCUGGCUAAUAAUAGUAUCUAUAAUAGAGUUUAUACAUUAUACAUGUAGUUUUCUUUCUACUAGAUUUUGAAUUCCAUCCAUUAGUGCCAAUGUAAUGUUAGGAUUUCAUAUUUAUUUAAUAGAAACUGGAAAUUAUUAAUGUUAUGUGCAUACAUGUAUAUCUUAGUAUAUGGAUAUGAUGAGACUUAUAAUAUUUCUGUAUUUAAAGAGUUACAGUUAUGACAUUAUUAUUAAAGAUUAAAAGUUAUAAAUGAUAAUACAUGUAUUGAUUGAAAAUGUCCUUAAACUUGGAUCAAGCAAUAUAAUUUAUAGUCAUAUAAAAAUCAUAUGGUAUUCUGAAUUGUUAUUUGAAUUUUUUUCUAACAUGUGCAUAGUUUGAAAAGGACAGCUUCUGCCUUAUCUAUUUGUUAGCUCAACCCCUACAGCCGCAGUACAUUAUUCUGUGGGUCACAGGUUUGAGUUCUGGUCAAGCUGAAAGUUUGUCUCAUCCUGUGAUUGCAUAUAACCCUGUGUUUAAUUCACGAUGCUCUGUAAACAUCAGAAAUUCAAGGACACAAAUCAAUAUUGUGGGGAAAUAUGUUGUGGUUUAGAACUGUUCAUUGUUAAUUUAAAGAGAAAAUGUGUAGCCGGCCAGAUAGCCAAGUUGGUCUUCUGACAGUCAUGGGUUGGAAAUGGUUUUUCAAUUGACAAAUGUUUGAUUCAUUUAACAGAUUGUAUUAAAUUUGAAAUGGACAAUGGCAGUAUUGUAUGCAUGAUACUUUUAGACCUACAAAAGGCAUAUGAUACAGUUGAUAACACUAUACUGCACAUGAAGAAGUUCUUCUUCUUCUUCUUCAUGGAACCUCAAGAGCAUCUGCCAUAGGUAAUGACAUUCUUACAUGGUUCAAGUCUUAUUUCUGAUGGACAGCAGCUGUACUCAUUCUACUACUGCUCCAAGUACCUAUGGUGUCCCCCUGAGAUUCAUUUUAGGUCCUCUUUUAUGUCUUAUAUUUGUCAAUGACAUGUCUGCAACCCUAAGCAAUAAGCUUUUAUUAUAUGCUGAUGACUCAGGUAUACUUGUAUCUGGUACCCGGUUGAACCGGGUGAUGCUCCCCGAAAAGGGUAUACCUCUUGUAGUGUCAGAGUUAUGUCACAGGCAAAGUUCAAAGUGUAAAAACAACCCAAAUGUUGUGCACGACACAUUGUCUCAAUAUGGUGAUCAUUUCUGUGAAAUAGUUGUAAAAUCAGACUUCAAAUAAGGAAGUUAUUUUGCUGCAAGGUCAUGCUGUGACCUUGACCUUCAAGGUAGCGCCCCAAAUAUUGCAUGUGACACGUCGAUUCAAUGUGGUGAUCAUCCCUGUGAAGUAGUUGUUAAAUCCGACUUCAAGGAACGAAGUUACUGGCCGAACGCGAUUUGCUGCAAGGUCAUGCUGUGACCUUGACCUUCAAGAUAGCGACCCAAAUGUUGCGCGCGACACGUCAUCUCAAUAUUGUGAUAAUUUCUGUAAAAUAUUUUUAAAAUCUGACUUCAAAUAACGAAGUUAUGGGCCGGACAAGAUUUUGCUGCAAGGUCAUGCUGCGACCUUGACCUUCAAAGUAGCGACCCAAAUGUUGGGCGCAACACGUUGUCUCAAUAUGGUGAUCAUUUCUGUGAAAUAGUUUUAAAAUCUGACUUCAAAUAACGAAGUUAUGGGCUGGACAUGAUUUUUCUGCAAGGUCAUGCUGUGACCUUGACCUUCAAAGUAGCGACCCAAAUGUUGCGUGCAACACAAAGUCUUAAUAUGGUGAUCAUUUCUGUGAAAUAGUUUUAAAAUCUGACUUCAAAUAACGAAGUUAUGGGCUGGACAGGAUUUUGCUGCAAGGUCAUG